GCGGAAGCAAUGCUUUUCUCCAACUGAAGCGUCAGUGACGGAACCCCUCCUCAUAAUCUGGUCACCGCGACUCCCACCCCCAUCUCUCUCCUCAAACGCCACAAAUUCCAUGCGGUGAUGGAUGCAACAGAGCCCAGCCUCCUCUAGGGUUUGCGUCCGCCAUCGAGGUGAUAACCGGCGGCUAUGGCGGCGAUGGCGACUUGCGGGACAAAGGAAGGAUUGCAAGACCAUCGUUCUGGAGGAUGGGUGAGACUUUAUGCAGAGGGGCUUCAACAUGCUCAUCAACAUCCUCGAGGGCCAGAGCCCGAGCACAACUCCGAAGACUACAUGAUGCAGCUGACCACGUUAGUGAUUGCUGGCUUUGCUGCAUUGGUCAAUUUUAAAUUCAGUUAAACAAGGAAAACAAGAUCAGAAUUUCUGCUACUACACUUCCUUGGUAUUGGCGCUUGGGGGUCCACAGGUUCAUCGAUUGUUCUUAUACUUUUGGUAUGCUCCAUUCAGUUCUCAUUGCAUGAAUUUGUAUACAAAAGGAUGUAUGAUGCAAGAUGACUAAGAAACAAAACUGAAUUUUGUUCAGGCUGCAGUCCGUGUCUCCAUGUAGCUCUUUUGUAGUACUAUUGACUAAGUGGUACAUUUUCCC